CCAGCCCCGAGUACGGAAGGGAAACCGCUGCCUCUGCCUGGGAGCUGCCACGGUCGGCUCCAGCCCUCGCGUCCGCGGGAGCGCGAUCCAGCACGGAGCUGGGGCUGAGCUGCGCGACCUGCAAAAAGCACAGCUCAGGCCCUGCCUGCAGGGGGGCUCCGGAUUUGCUCCCUUCUCCGCGGGAUCGAGGCAGCAGUGCCGGGAACCGUGCGGGCUCAGUACGCUACGCCGCGGCCGCCCCAGUGUCGGGCAGUUGAAGAUACUGCAGAGGAAAGGCAGGGACGGCUUAAAUAACACACGCAGCGUCAGCCUCUCAUCUUGCCAGCGCCGCGGCCAGAAACGGCAGAUGACUGAAACGUCCUGCGUUUUGCCAGAGGACCCAGCCGUGGGCCGCUGGCACACACAGCUUCCCGAGCACCGUCAGGGACGCGCAGCAGCGCCGUCUCUGAAAUUGCCUUUGUAGCACUAGGCAGACGUGCACAGAUUUGCAGUCACUUUUCUGAAGAUUGGACUGUAAGUGUCACUGGUCUGAUACACGGUGGAACGGAGGGACCCGCGAACCCGGCUCAGCCUGCUCAGCCGGGGGGACGUGGUGACGCCCGCAGGCAAGGAAAAGCGACUCUGGCGCAGCUGAAGUCUACUAGAAAUUACCCUGGAAAUCAGCAUCUCAGCAGCCUUCGGCACAAAGGCAGCAACCCCGAGAGGCUGCCUGAUUCCGGUCCCCUUUUGGCUGAUUUUUUUCCUGUAAGGAAGGGAGUGAAGCAAAUGCUCAUAAAGAGGGAGAAUUGGCAAAUCCUGUGCUGGGCUAGGGGAAUGUACCUCACCUGUGCCAUGUUCUUGAGGAAGCCCAGCCCUCCUCCUUGAGUGAAAGCAGCCAGCGAUGUGCAAAAGCCUGGCCAGUGUCCAGCACAGCUCAGGCAGAUCCCACUUCUGGCAAAGGUGAGAAGAUAGACAACGAAGAACAGAAAGUCUGAAAUUCUUUGAAGAGAGACAGAGAAGGUUGUGCUGCUUUUUCCUGACCACAGAACAGGCAGCAGGACCUUUGUCGUGGGCCAGGAUAACCCUUUACUGCAGCAUAUGCCACCACGUUAUCCCAUCAGGGAUACCAGGAGGCCAAGACACUCGGACACUGCACACCAUGAAAUACAAGUUUACCACAUCGGACUGUACUGGAAACCAUGUUCUGGCUAUGGAUCUUUUUCCCACCCCCUUCCAAGGCCCUGCAGUCUGGUGACACAGUGCUGAGACUACUUUCAGCUCGAGAUAUAGACUGCACUGAGGUGACUGUUAGGGGGUAAGCGAAGGCUGGGGAGAUGCUGGAUGGGUUCAAACUGAACCAAAGAUAAACCUUGCUUCUCCUCCUGAGCCUGUCCAGUGUCCUCCUCUGACACAAUUACAGCCUGUAAAAAUGCAGUUUUAACACUGCACUACUGUUUUAUGAGCAGAUUCUUCAAUUAAAACUCUUCCCUAAUGAUGGGAAUUGUGGUUUUGAACAACGAAAGGUGAGUCAGGUUUGUUCCCAAUAA